UAGCAAUCCCAAAUUGAAGACUACCAAAUACGCCUAAUUGCAAGGUACAGAGAGCUUUCUUGGUUAGGAUCCAAAAUUUACCCUGCCAAUACUAGGCCAGGUUAAAAGCACUAUCGGCACCUAGCUCUCCUCUGUUUUCCCCACGCUACAGGGCAGCCAGGCGAGAGAGAGGGCGAAUAGACUUUCUCCUCCACCGAUCCGCCGGCCCCCCCUCCUCCGGCGUCCUCGCCGGCGACGGAGAUGAGGGGGGUGCCCGGCACCUCGGCGGGAGGACCUGUGUAGCUGUAGGAUUAGUCCUUAGUGCUUGUAGAUCCCGCCGGCGACUUUUAUAUCACCGGCUAGGGUUAGAGUUUCCUCUUCGCUUCUCCGGCGGCGGUGGCGGCGACGGCGUCGUCUCCGGCGAGGAUCGAAGGAGGAUAGGUCUCUUCCAGGCGGGUUUCGGCGUUGGCGCCCUCGGUGGUGCGAGCACCGGCGGUCCCUCUGUCAACUUCUUAUCCAAGCUAAGACCACGAAGCCAACGACACAGAAUGAAAAGUUGGGAACAUAAAGAUAAAGGUAAUCAAGGGAUAGCAAUGUUCAAUGCUGGAACUCCAAAUGACCAACAAUGUCACCCUAACAUUAGUAUUCAUUUGCUUUCACUCAUGCAAUCCUAACACAGUGUACCGCUUUCGGCUAGUGAAAAAGCUGGCUGAUUUCGGCUAAUUCAAUAGUGUUAUGUGAGAAAGAAUAAGCCGGAAUAAGCCGAAAGCAGACAAGCCGAACAAGUCAUGGCCAUACAUAAAAGUACAAGGUUUUAGAACUACUUUUGCUAGAUAUGGUAGUGAGACUCCACGGUUCGUAUGCGAUGUAUGUCAAAUCAUUGAAAUAAUGAAAUGAAAAAAAGUCAUUUUUCUUUUCA